GGGCGUGGCCUCCAGUUACCUCCUUCUCCAACUCAAUCAACCACCUGCAGUUCAUUCAUCAAUCAACUGCCUCCUGCGUCAGCAUGGAAGAGGACUGUCUCCAACACCGUUACUCUGAAUGAUCAUCAUGUGCUCUGAGGACCGCUCUGUUUUCCUGUCUCACUGAACCGGGCUGACCCUGGACUCACAAACAUUCUCUGGAUCGAGGGGCAUUAUGAAUAAUUAGAGUCCAAACACACAAUCCUGCUUAGAGAGGACACCAGGAAAAGACCUGCUCUGCGCCUGAUGCCAAACCAGAAACCAGAAGCAGCUGGGAGCGAUCAAUAAUUCAUGCACAGGCCGCAGAAGGGGCCACGCUCACUGUAAUGCUGGUUCAUGUAGAUUAUGUGAGCACAUUAUAAGUGCAGAUGAGGGAGGAAGUCAGAUUCAGUGCACGAGUAAAAGUAGAAAUACCACAUUGUUAAAAAAUAAAAAAAGCCAAAUAUUUCAUACAAGAUGUGAGUAAAG